UGAUAGCUGUGGUCGGAGAUUUCCUCCUCCAGAGGAGUUGUCUGGGGAGUCGUUGGAGAAACGGGUGGAGCUGCGGCGAGUGAACUGGGACUUGGUUGCCGAAGCAUCGGAGUUGUCCGUUGGGUCGAGGUCUUCUACUUGGGAUAUCCGAAGUUGGAAUGUGGAUUGACGAUGUCCAAGCAGAACCAGCGCGCUUGAGUCGAAGCUUGUCCUUGAAGGCUUUCCAAGAUCUUCCAAAUCAAUGAAAAUGAAACAGUGAGCUAUUAUUUCAGAAUCUUAAUUAUUAAGUUAGACUUUGUAAAUAAAUCAAAUAUUUUGUUCAGUUAGACAUGUAGAACAAAGUAGAAACAAUAAAAUUUACCUUUAAGGUUUGAAUAUUAAUCAUGACAUGGAUAAAAUAAGCCAAAAUUACCCUUCAACUUUA